UAGGGUGACCAACAUCCCAGUUUGCCUAGAACUGCUGGGUUUCCUGAGAUGCUAAAACCAGGGCAGUCCUGGGCAAACUGGGACAUCUGGUCACCCAGACAAGAA
rnacentral:pre_miRNA from 1 species